UAAUACGUAGGCAGCGAGCGUUGUUCGGAGUUACUGGGCGUAAAGCGUGCGUAGGCGGUUUUCUAAGUCUGGUGUGAAAUCUCCCGGCUCAACUGGGAGGGUGCGCUAGAAACUGGAAGGCUUGGAGUGUGGGAGAGGUAGGCGGAAUUCCUGGUGUAGCGGUGAAAUGCGUAGAUAUCAGGAGGAACACCUGUGGUGUAGACGGCUUACUGGACCAUGACUGACGCUGAGGCACGAAAGCGUGGGGAGCAAACAGGAUUAGAUACCCUGGUAGUCCACGCCCUAAACGAUGCAUACUUGGUGUGGGUAAUUCAUUUUAUCCGUGCCGGAGCUAACGCGUUAAGUAUGCCGCCUGGGGAGUACGGUCGCAAGGCUG
rnacentral:rRNA from 1 species